rnacentral:rRNA from 1 species
UACGGGGGGGCAAGCGUUUGUUCGGAAUUACUGGGCGUAAAGGGCUCGUAGGCGGCCAACUAAGUCGGACGUGAAAUCCCCAGGCUCAACCUGGGAACUGCGUCCGAUACUGGAUGGCUUGAAUUCGGGAGAGGGAUGCAGAAUUCCAGGUGUAGCGGUGAAAUGCGUAGAUAUCUGGAGGAAUACCGGUGGCGAAGGCGGCAUCCUGGACCGACAUUGACGCUGAUGAGCGAAAGCCAGGGGAGCAAACGGG